rnacentral:rRNA from 1 species
GGAGUAUGUGGUUUAAUUCGAUGCAACGCGAAGAACCUUACCUGGUCUUGACAUCCCGGAGACCCUUAGGAAACGUAAGGGGGUUGGCUUCCAUCUGGAAGAAUCUGGAGACAGGUGCUGCAUGGCUGUCGUCAGCUCGUGUCGUGAGAUGUUGGGUUAAGUCCCGUAGCGAGCGCAACCCUCGCCCUUAGUUGCCAGCAUUUAGUCGGGCACUCUAAGGGGACUGCCGGUGAUAAGCCGAGAGGAAGGUGGGGAUGACGUCAAGUCCUCAUGGCCCUUACGGGCUGGGCUACACACGUGCUACAAUGGUGGUGACAGUGGGCAGCGAGCACGCGAGUGUGAGCUAAUCUCCAAAAGCCAUCUCAGUUCGGAUUGCACUCUGCAACUCGAGUGCAUGAAGUUGGAAUCGCUAGUAAUCGUGAAUCAGAAUGUCACGGUGAAUACGUUCCCGGGCCUU